UACGGGGGGAGCAAGCGUUGUUCGGAUUUACUGGGCGUAAAGGGCGCGUAGGCGGCCACCGCAAGUCGAUUGCGAAAUCUCCGGGCUUAACCCGGAAAGGUCAACCGAUACUGCGGGGCUAGAGUGCAGAAGGGGCAACUGGAAUUCUCGGUGUAGCGGUGAAAUGCGUAGAUAUCGAGAGGAACACCCGCGGCGAAGGCGGGUUGCUGGGCUGACACUGACGCUGAUGCGCGAAAGCUAGGGGAGCGAACGGG
rnacentral:rRNA from 1 species